AGUGAACGCUGGCGGUAGGCCUAACACAUGCAAGUCGAACGGCAGCACAGUAAGAGCUUGCUCUUACGGGUGGCGAGUGGCGGACGGGUGAGGAAUACAUCGGAAUCUACUUUUUCGUGGGGGAUAACGUAGGGAAACUUACGCUAAUACCGCAUACGACCUACGGGUGAAAGCAGGGGAUCUUCGGACCUCUCGCGAUUGAUUGAGCCGAUGUCGGAUUAGCUAGUUGGCGGGGUAAAGGCCCACCAAGGCGGCGAUCCAUAGCUGGUCUGAGAGGAUGAUCAGCCACAUUGGAACUGAGACACGGUCCAGACUCCUACGGGAGGCAGCAGUAGGGAAUAUUGGACAAUGGGCGCAAGCCUGAUCCAGCCACGCCGCGUGAGUGAAGAAGGCUUUCGGAUUGUAAAGCCCUGUUGUUGGGAAAGAAAAACAGCAGGUUUAUACCCCACUGUUCUGACGGUACCCAAAGAAUAAGCACCGGCUAACUUCGUG
rnacentral:rRNA from 1 species